rnacentral:rRNA from 2 species
UUUAUUGGAGAGUUUGAUCCUGGCUCAGGAUGAACGCUGGCGGCGUGCCUAAUACAUGCAAGUCGAGCGAAUGGAUUAAGAGCUUGCUCUUAUGAAGUUAGCGGCGGACGGGUGAGUAACACGUGGGUAACCUGCCCAUAAGACUGGGAUAACUCCGGGAAACCGGGGCUAAUACCGGAUAACAUUUUGCACUGCAUGGUGCGAAAUCGAAAGGCGGCUUCGGCUGUCACUUAUGGAUGGACCCGCGUCGCAUUAGCUAGUUGGUGAGGUAACGGCUCACCAAGGCAACGAUGCGUAGCCGACCUGAGAGGGUGAUCGGCCACACUGGG